AGUAGAUGUGUUUGUGUGUUUGUGUUUGUGUGUGCACACAAACACAAACACACAAACACACACACACACA
rnacentral:sRNA from 1 species